AGACGUGAGGGGGGUCUAGCUGCAACACUGUCACCCCAUUGACUGUCGGGACUGAUUAGACUGACAUGGCAGGCUGGGCGGGUGUCCCUUUCCUUGCUCACUGCUCCUGUGUGGCCCUCCAAAACCCCUGUGCUUGGUUGAAGAGUGCAACCUUCCCAGAGCAGAGACGGACUGUGCUCACUGCUGGAGC
rnacentral:snRNA from 1 species